GCCGCAGUUGCGGUUUACAGGGUUCAGUUAUUAAAAGCCCCGAUUUAUCGGGGUUUUUUGUUAUCUGACUAAAGAAUAACUGGGCUAUAGGCCCUUUUUUU
rfam:Cronobacter sp. DJ34 Bact_A5_14, whole genome shotgun sequence.